rnacentral:tRNA from 1 species
GUGGGUGUGGCGGAGUGGUUAUCGAGUAUAACCAGAAAUCAUGUGGGUUUUGCCCGCGCAGGUUCGAACCUUGCCGCUCAUG